rnacentral:rRNA from 1 species
AGCGAACGCUGGCGGCAGGCCUAACACAUGCAAGUCGAACGAAGUCUUCGGACUUAGUGGCGGACGGGUGAGUAACACGUGGGAACGUGCCUUUAGGUUCGGAAUAACUCAGGGAAACUUGUGCUAAUACCGAAUGUGCCCUUCGGGGGAAAGAUUUAUCGCCUUUAGAGCGGCCCGCGUCUGAUUAGCUAGUUGGUGAGGUAAAGGCUCACCAAGGCUACGAUCAGUAGCUGGUCUGAGAGGAUGACCAGCCACAUUGGGACUGAGACACGGCCCAAACUCCUACGGGAGGCAGCAGUGGGGAAUCUUGCGCAAUGGGCGAAAGCCUGACGCAGCCAUGCCGCGUGGAUGAUGAAGGUCUUAGGAUUGUACAAUCCUUUCACCGGUGAAGAUAAUGACUGUAGCCGGAGAAGAAGCCCCGGCUAACUUCGUGCCAGCCGCCGCAGUAAUAC